CAGUUCCCAUACAAUCACUAAAGUUAAGCAACAUCAAGCGUGGUCAGUACUUAGAUGGGUGACUGCUUGUGAAUAACAGGUGCUGUCAG